GGCCUGGUAGCAUAAUGGUAGUGCAGCCACUUUCUGUAUGGGGACGGGAUCAAUAUUAAAUGGAAGAUCCCUGUUCGACUCAGGGCCAGGCCA